GACGAACGCUGGCGGCGUGCUUAACACAUGCCAGUCGAACGGAAAGGCCCUGCUUUUGUGGGGUGCUCGAGUGGCGAACGGGUGAGUAACACGUGAGUAACCUGCCCUUUACUUUGGGAUAACUUCAGGAAACUGGGGCUAAUACCUGAUACGAGCUCCUGCUGCAUGGUGGGGGUUGGAAAGUUUCGGCGGUUGGGGAUGGACUCGCGGCUUAUCAGCUUGUUGGUUGGGUAGUGGCUUACCAAGGCUUUGACGGGUAGCCGGCCUGAGAGGGUGACCGGCCACAUGGGGACUGAGAUAGGGCCCAGACUGCUACGGGAGACAGCAGUGGAGAAUCUUGCACAAUGGGCGGAAGCCUGAUGCAGCAACGCCGCGUGCGGGAUGACGGCCUUCGGGUUGUAAACCGCUUUCGCCUGUGACGAAGCGUGAGUGACGGUAAUGGGUAAAGAAGCACCGGCUAACUACGUG
rnacentral:rRNA from 1 species